GUGCAAACGAGGUUAUACUUGUUCCCAACAAUGAGCUUUCCAUUCUAUUAACUUUGUCAGCUGUGCUUUUUUCCUUUGCAGUUGAUUUUCAUGAAUGGUACAUCA